rnacentral:rRNA from 1 species
AGUGAACGCUGGCGGUAGGCCUAACACAUGCAAGUCGAACGGCAGCACAGUAAGAGCUUGCUCUUACGGGUGGCGAGUGGCGGACGGGCGAGGAAUACAUCGGAAUCUACUUUUUCGUGGGGGAUAACGUAGGGAAACUUACGCUAAUACCGCAUACGACCUACGGGUGAAAGCAGGGGAUCUUCGGACCUUGCGCGAUUGAAUGAGCCGAUGUCGGAUUAGCUAGUUGGCGGGGUAAAGGCCCACCAAGGCGACGAUCCGUAGCUGGUCUGAGAGGAUGAUCAGCCACACUGGAACUGAGACACGGUCCAGACUCCUACGGGAGGCAGCAGUGGGGCAUAUUGGACAAUGGGCGCAAGCCUGAUCCAGCCAUACCGCGUGGGUGAAGAAGGCCUUCGGGUUGUAAAGCCCUUUUGUUGGGAAAGAAAAGCAGCAGGUUAAUACCCCGCUGUUCUGACGGUACCCAAAGAAUAAGCACCGGCUAACUUCGUG